UCUUUGAACGGCCACUCGUCGCCUUCUGCCUCCCCGCCGCAUCGGGACACAGCCGCCAACUCCACCCGCCUCAAGCGCCCUCCCAUGCGUCAAAGAAGGAGGUCGCACCGGGCGCUGUCGGGGGCACCGGAGUGGGCGCCGGGCUCGUGGCGGCGGCGCUGGCGCCGGAGAAGGAAAUCGGCCGGAGGCAACAACCUAUAAAGGGAAAGUUCUGACAACCUGUCUGAUCGUGCACGAGUGGGGCUGCGCGUGUUAAUUGGCAGCCUCCAUUUGCCUCCGCCUAGGUGCAGAACAAGACACGAGAAGAUUUGGUAUUUCGCGCACCAUAACAGGUUAAUGGGUUCAUGUUUCAUUGUUUCUCAAUCUAGUCUGCAACACAUUAACCAUUAAUAAUGUUCAUGGACGGUUUUAUUU